CUUGAGACUCGGAGUCCUAGCGAUGGAGCAUCAAAGAGAAGGUAAAUCCGAUCCUCCUUGGCCGGCAAUGAAUCUUCCCAUCAGCAAACUUUAUCUGGUUGGUACCUGGGGUGCAGUGAUGGCCUCGAGCUGAAGGUAGCCCUCCUUUCUGUGUCCCCUGCUAUCCUCUGUGCCCUGUCUGUGCAUCCAGCAAAUGGCAGCGGAAGAGAUCUGGGGAAAUGGGAGGCAGGAGAGAGGCCUGAUCCCGGGACCUGGGCCACGGGGAAGGAGGGAAGGAGCUGGUGGCCCAGAGGCUGUGCCCUGUUCAGCUGCAGUGGCUGGGGAACGCGAACCUAACCAGGGCUGAUCUCUGAGACAUGGGACUUGAGCUGGUGUUGGGGAACAAUUUGCUGUGAGAGCCUAAUAUUUGUGUUUUCACUCUGGAUGGCCAAGACAAAAUCCCCGCUCGCUGAGCCCCUGGGAGUCUGGCCGAUUGAGGCACAGCAGUGAUGCUGGGUUCAGAUCCGUGCAGUAUCACCCGCCAGCACCAGCCACACCAGGGCUCCGUCCUCAGUUACACAUGGAAGGCAUUGUUGGGGUGUGUUUGGUGAGAGGCUGGCUUUGUAAGGGGUCUGCGGGUGAGCAUCUGUCCCGAGAGAAGAAAGUCUGGCCAGGUGAUACUCCUUAGAGCUCAGCUUACUUUAGUCGAGGACAUUAUCGUGGAAAAACGGAGCUUCUAGGCUACUCUGGAUUCAGAUGACUGUUUUUGCGUGUCUGGUUUUUUUGGGACGAUGCAGCUUUUUUUGUAAUGAAGUUUUACAAAUUUAAAAAGAAAACCUACAAGGUGCAGCCGGCUUGGAAAUAAGCAGCGUGUUUGAGCGAAGUUGCUGGCAGUUUGGUUUGUUUUGGAGUGACUCCUUUUUUGCACGGACCGUUGGGGCCAUUCGUUCAUUCCUCAAGAGUGUCUCCACGGUGCCUGAUCACCCCUGGGGUGCCAAGAGGAACGGGUCCCCAACCCUGCUGGUCGAUGAACUGCAGGACACCCCGUAUCCCCAGGUGUCAGGGUUAUAAGGCCUGGGUCCUGGAAAGGUGGUCCUUGGCUGUCCUGCUCCCUUGACUGAUUUCAUCCCCUGUGGACCAUGCAGGGUUGUAGCACAGCAUUCUAAUGACCAGAACAGUGGGGAAACCCCAGCCUUCAGGGGACCUACCUUCUAGCAGGGAGAUGGAGAGCGAAGGUAUGGAAUACAUCCAUGACGUAUUGCCCGUGCCCAGGGCCGUGGAGCAGACAGAACAGGACCUCAGCGCACAGCCCCACUGAGUCAUCAGAAGGGCUGACCAGAGUGAGGCGGGAGGGGUGGUAAAGACAGUGGGAGGGGUGUGUGGAAGGCACAGUUCUGGUGAGAGGUGGGGAGGGAAAGGAGAGAAGAUACUGGCCCGAGGGUGUGGGGUAAGGAAGAGGGCAGACCGAACCUGGGCCCUGGAAUUUUGGGGCAGGGCCCGUGGGGUCGUGGUGGCCUUGGUUGAGAAGGGGCCACCUAUGGGCGAGGUGUCAGCAGAGGAACCUGAGUGGGGGAGGGGCAGGGAGCGGCGCAGGGAGGGCCUUCUGGGUCCAUUGGACCCUGGAAGUCCGGCAGGCUGGUGUCACCUGGGGCUGGCCCUUAGAGAGGCAGCCCUUGCACCCUGCCGCCUGGCUGGGCCCACGGGUUUAUUAAAGGCAGGUGCGGUCACUACUAUCCUGUUCUUGAGCGUUGGGCGUGACUCAGACAUUCAGGGAGUCAGUCUGGAGUUCCUUUAUUCAUCCCUAUUUGCUUUUUGUCGGUAAUCCUUUGUAAUUCCCCAGUUUCAUGAUGUAAUUUUAAUGGAAUUAAACUUGAACACUUCGAAAUUAUGUAAUUAAUUACGUUCGGCUUCAAUUACAAUGACUAAUUAUAGCGUGAUACCUGGUGGCAAGUCAGGCAGGUACUGGUGGGGGUUCAUGCCUGCUGGCUAUUGGGAGGGCCACUUUCCGUUCAGCAUGGGAGCCACGGUGCCCCAGGGACAGGUCGCCUGCCCCUGGGUUGCCCAGGGCGCCUUCCAAUCCCCCUCUGCUGAGGUGCGAGGUGCGGGGUGUGAGACGCGUGGGAAGUGCGGGUGUGGGAGGGUUGUUUGGGGAUGCAAAGGCUCGAACUUGUUUCCAGGUUGAAGGGAAGGACUCUUCUUUGUAAGUUUGGGGUGCCAGGGGAAGCGGAGGGCCCUGUUGUGACAUUCUUCUGGGAUGCGGGAGGGAGGCCGCUCCCAGGUUAAAGCGGAGUGUCAAAGAGCCGAAGAGAUGGUUUCCAGCGAAAAGAAAAGGUGUGAGAACCACUCUGGGGUGAACAAGGAAGGUGGAAGCAGGUUUAAAAAGGUUACUGCGUGGUGGUGUUGUUUCCAGGUGGCCCACAUGCAGGGCUUCUGGGACCAGGAAACCGAGCCUCAGACCCCAGGACAGAGUGUGUGUUUGCGGACUUUCCAGAAAGUCUGCCCACCCCCCCCCCCCCCAACUUUGCACAUGGUGGUGGUUUUACUUUGCCUUAGGAGGAGGGAAGGGGUCUAGCUAAGAAAUACCCGAGUUGACGGCUGCCUCUAAAACACCCACGUCUCCUAAUGGGGGCUGUGCAGCCCCUUCCAGAAUGGGGAUGCAGCGUUCCCACGAGGGAGGAGGAGGGUCGGGCCCUUCCGCCAUGUCCCAGCACAGCUGCCCGCCUGCCCUCCCUGCCCCAGGCACACCUGCCAUCCAGCUGUUCUUGCCGGGAGGCUCCUUGGAAGGGACUUGAAACAGAGGUGCCUGCGUAUGGAAUUCAGUGGCCAGUGUCCUGUGUCUGUGAGAUGCCUGCUGUUUAUUUGAGAGGCUUAGGGCGUUUUUCCAAAAGCUGAUUCUUACGCCUCAAAUAGAGAGUUUUUUUUUUUAAUGCCGUCUCUGAGUUUUCCAGUGUGUUCCCCAUUGGGUGUACAGAGCAGAUGCGCUGGCCGAGGAGCCCCUGCUUCCGGAAGCUUGAGCUGAGGCUGAUAUUUGGGUUAGGGAGAGGGCCAAUAGGGUGUCUAAACGUCUUACAGAUUUCUGUUUUUUAAGGGACAGUGUGACCUGAAAACAUUUUGAGUAUACGACUAGGUUUACAUUUUGGUUAGGGGAUGUCCUGGUACAGAGUGCUCUCGGAACACUUUUUUUUCUAUUGAACACGCUUCAGAGGACAGCUCCCUGCACACAACGCCCAUACCUGUGUUGUUACUUUUUUUUUUUUAAUUUCUAAAUGUUUUUAAAUGUAAGCUCUUAUGUCCAGCAUGGGGCUUGAACUCAUCACCCCGAGAUCAAGACAGAGUCAGCCAGGAACUCAUUUGUUACUUUUUGUUUUUUAAGAUCAAAUUCAUAUAAAAUCCACUGUAUUCACCUUUUUAAAGUGUGCAGUUCAGUUUCAUGUUCAUCAUGUUGUGCAACUGUCACCACAGUCGAAUUCCAGAACAUUUUCCACCCUCCAGCAAGAGGCUCGUACCUGUUAGCCGUGACCCCUGCAUCUGCCCUGCGCCUCCCCCUGCCCCUUCUCGCCCGAGGCUCUGUGUAACCAUCACUCUACUUUCUGCCUCCAUGGAUUUCCCUGUUCUGGAUUUUUCACAUAUAAAUGGAACCCUACAACACGUGGCCUUUUGUGUCUGGCUUCUUUCAUUCGGUGUAGUUAUUUUCUGUGUUCACGCACGUUGUAGUGUGUAUCCAUUCUUCAUUCCUUUUAUGGCCGAAUGAGAUCCCGCGGUGUGGGUAUACGACAUCUGAUGAUCCUUUCAUAAACGGUGGGCAUUUGGAUCGUUUCCGCUUUGGGGCUUUUACGAAUCAUGCUGUUGCGAACACCUGUCUGUGUGCAAGUUUCUGUGCGAAGCGUUUUCGGCUUUUUUCGGUACACGCCCAGGAGUAGGAAUGCUGGGUCACAUAUGGGGACUCUGUGUUCCCGUUUCCGAGCCUGCUGCUGUUUGACGUCUUGGGUGCGGCUCCUGUUUGUUCUCCAGGUGCUCAUCUAAUGCCUGGGCCGCUGCACCUUUCCCUGCUCUGGUCUCCCUCCGGCCGCCUCGUCGGGUUCCUUGCAUGGUGGAGCUGCCGCACUUUGGAACCAGCGUGAGAGACAGGUGGACGCGUGAGCAGGCUGUGUGUUUGGCUAACGGCAGAUGCUGUUGGUGGCCCACCCUGGGGUCUCUCCCCUCUGCGCCCGCCUGCCUCCUCACUCUUCCCCGCACCGGGGCGAAACCAGAUGUUUGUCUAAACUGUCCUGGCAGGGCCUUCCCUGUGGCCAGGCGUGGUGGGGGUUGCACUUAGUUCUGGCCAGAGAGGCAGGGGAUGUCAGGGUUGCUGCUGGAAACGUGCUGCUUCUCUCAUAAAAGGAGAUGAGCCAGGACAAAGCCCAUGAACGUGCCUGUGGGCAAAGAGGCUCCAGGGCCAGCUGCCACCAAUCUAAGCAUUGGUGGGCUGGUGGGGGUUGGGGGGCAGGACAGUGUGCAAUGCAGGGGACGCGGAGCAGGAAUGUGGAAGGGGCCUGGGCCCUCAGUCUUGCAGUCACCCUGCCCCCAACUUUCUGUGAUGGGAAACAGGAGUGUUACGGUUAAAAUCCGGAUGGUAGAAAGUUUCUUUUGGCUGCUUUGCUGGUGUGGACUUACUAGUCCUGCUUUUGAGAUACUCUGGUUCUGGGUGAGGGUAGACAUGAGAGCAUGAGGAGGAGUGUGUGCUCCAAGCUGUCUCUCCUAGCAGCAGGCAGGGUCCCAUUUGCCCAGCCAGAUGUCCCUCGAUACUUUGCAUGGAGCCAAUAAAGCAUUAAGCAAUUAGAAUGGUUAAUAUUCAGUUAAGUAUAAUUAGAAGCUGGUGUAAAUUGUGAAUGAAAUUGACGGGUUCCAGAAGUUAAGGCAAAAUACCAAAUCUUUUUCAGCUGUGUGUGUGUGUGUGUGUGUGUGUGUGUGUGUGUGUGUGUGUGUGUGUGUGUUCUGCGAGGGUCUGUUGAUUCAGAUAGGUGUGGAAUUGACACGGAGGGCCGUCACCAACUCAGUUCGUUGUAAUUUUAAAAGUUUAGGAACAUCCGGCCGAUUGUUUUAUGGUGUUAAACAUUGAAAUCCUUAAGUCAAAGUGUAAGAGUUUUAACACCGAUUUGUACGAGAUGGGCAGGAAAAUCCAGACCCCUGUUUUCUGUCUGCCUCUGGGGGUAUGUGUGUGUGUGUCUCACCCUCAUCACUCAUCAGUUCACAGCACACAUGAUUCAUCUUAGUAAGUUUUUCUUCCUUUAGGCUCCACCCCCAUUUCUAGACGCUGGCCCUCCCGCCCUAUGCUGGUGUUUAGUGUGCCUCUACACAGCUGUAUUCUUGUGAACUGGGCACCCUGCUUUGUAGGUAUAAGUAGCUUAACUCCUGUCUGGGGAUGUGCUGUACAUCUUUCUCCCUCCUUUUCACUCGUCACUGGUUUGGAGAUCUGACCAUGUUCCUCCCUACACAGUUUGGUCGUCCUUCAUGAUAGCUGCGUUGGAUUCCAUCUGAAGAAUCCACUUGUCUUGGUUCGCUCAGGCUGAUCUAACAAGAUACUCUAGACUGGGCGGCUUAAACAACACACAUUUUAUUUCUCACAGCUCUGGAGGCUGAAAGUCCAAGGUCAAGGUGCCUGCAGAUUGCAUUCCUGGUGAGCGUCCUCUUCUGGCUUUCAGACUGCUGUAUCCUCCAGGCGACAGACGGGCCUGAGAGAGAGUGAGGGAGCACUCUGGUGUCUCUUACAAGGUUGCUAAUGCCAUCGUGGGGACCCCACCCUCAUGACCUUCGAAAGACCCACCUCCAGAUGUCAUCACUUCAAGGGCUAGGACUUCAGCAUAUGAAUUUGGGGGACACAAGUUCAGUUCUUAGCACCGCCCGGCUUCUGGGUCCAUUUCCGUGGGGGUGGCUCCACAUUGUGGUCUCUAAUACCCCAGUGCCUCUGGCAUCCUUAACGCACAGGGCAUGAUGGCUGGUCCAGGAGUGGGUUGCUGGGUCCAGAGUGAAAAGGGCUGUUAAUUUCACUAAGUGCUGCCAGAUUGCUUCCCAGAGCAGAGGCACCACUGCUCUCUCCACGUUCGUGUCAGCACUUCCUGGAGACUUUUUGCCAUUCUGAUGGUUUUAAAGUGGUACUUCAGCGUUGUGUGAUUCUUCUCUAAUCACCGGUAAGGUUCAUACUUGUUACCUACCUCUUUUAUACUUCUAAGAUUUUCAGAUUUACCCUUCUGUAAAUUGUCUGGUCAUAUAGUAUUUUGUUUUGUUUUGUUUUUUUAAUGAUUUACUUUUUUUUUUGUUGAUUUGUAAGAGUUCUUUGUAUGUUUUGCAUGCUAAUCCUUUGUUGGUUUUUGCUGUUGCAAAUAAUCUUUCCCAGUCUCUUUUGUUGAUUUGUCUGUAGUGUCCUUCGAUAUGUAAAAAAACUUAAUUUUGAUGAACUCCAAUCUAUCCGAUUUUCCCCCUCAUGUUUGGUGUGUGAUUUCCCUCUUGAGAACAUCUUUCCCCAUUCGGAAUCACAAAGGUUAUCAUGUACUUUUUUUUUUUUUAAUGCUUCUUUAAAAAUGAAUUCUUUUCUAAUUCAUUUUUGGUUGGUUUUCAUUUUUGAGAGGGAGACAGAGCACAAGCCAGGGAGGGGCAGAGAGAGAGGGAGACACAGAAUCCAAACGAAGCAGGCUGCAGGCUCUGAACUAUGGGCUCAAACCCACAAACAGUGAGAUCGUCACCUGAGCUGAAGUUGGGUGCCCAAUCGACCGAGCCACCCAAGGGCCCCCCUGUCUUUUUUUUUUUCUCUUUUAAAGUUUAUUAAGUAAUCUUUAUGCCCAACGUGGGGCUUGAAGUCAUAACCCUGAGAUCAGGAGUCUCAUGCUCUACCAAGUGAGCCAGCCAGGCGCCCCAAAGAUACUUGUAUUUUGAUGGCUAUGUCACAUAACUAUCAAACAUUGGUCUUCCUCGUUUAGAUCUUUAGGUUGGAAAUGGUUUUUGUACAGAUAGGUAGCCAGGUUUUCCAACAUUGCUGAACAGUUGUUUUGUCUCCUACCCUGUGAUUUUGGGAGCUGCGUCUCUUGUACGUCAGGGCCUCAUAUACAUGUGGGGAUGCUUCUAGGGUCAUUCUUUUGUUCUGCCCCUUAUUUGUUUCUUCUUGCACUGGCACCACCCAAUUUUACGGUGGCUUUAUAUGCGUUUUAAUUUCUGAUCACGUGAAUUUAUCCUCUUUGGCUCUUUUUCAAAGCACCUUGGCGACUCAAGGUCUAUUGUUCUUUGAUGCACGUAUCUGUCUGGUUCCCCCUCAAGUUCUGCUGGAGUCUCUAUUGCAUUUGGAUGAAAUCUACAGGUUAAUUUGGGGGCAGGGGGAAAUGAAGACCUUUUAAGUUGUCCCAUCCUUGAACAAAGAUACUUCUCCAUUUAUUUAGGUCUUCCUCCUCCAAAAAGGUUUUGUGAAAUCUUUAUUUAAUUAAUUUCUAGUCCUUUACAGUUUUUGUGGUGUUGUGACCAGUGUCUUAUUUAAAAACAUUUUUUUUUUCUUCUGAUUGUUGAUUGUGGUAUGGAAGAAAAACAACUGGUUUUGUUUGCCGAUUUUGAAACUGGCAGGCUUGCUGAGUCUCUUUCUAGUUUUACUGAUUACCUUGACUCUGUUACCUUUCCCUGGGGAUAAUAUCAUAUGCAAAAUAAGUGACUCUUUUGUUUACCCCUUUCCUUCCACUCCUUGAACCAGAGUGGCUUGUUUUGUUGGCCAGAAACUCAAGGACUCCGUUGCAUAGUGGUUUAGUGAUGGUGGCCUGCUCUUUCCUGGUCUCAAGGGAAGUUUUGGUAGACGCCUGAAACAGAUUAAGCAAUUACCUUGAUUCCCUUUCCCUUCCUUUUCUGAGAGUUGUUUUUUUUUUUUUUUAAAUAAUAAUUAGGUGUUGACCUUUAGCAAAUACUUUUUCUUAAAAUCUAUUCAUGGCCAUGCGACUUUGAUCCCUUAGUCCAUGCGUGUGAUAAAUUGCAUUACAGUGAUGGAUGCUUUGAGGCCAGAUCAUGCAGUGCAUUGUGGGGCCAACCGUGUCUUGAAUUUUAAAAUAUGGUUGGAUUUGAUGCAUAGUUUUGACAUCUGUGUUUCCCAAUCAAAUCGGCCUAUAUACUUUUCUUACCCAUAUCUAGUUGGAAUUGAAACUCUACGGGUCUCGUGUAAAAUAGGUUAAACUUGUUUUGGGAUCAUUUCUAUGAGAUGAGGAACGCCUGUAGCUUCAGUGUGAUCGCGCUCCCCCUGUCCCGCCGUGGGUCCUGAGACUGAGUGUGGCGAGCAGGCGUUUACCGUCUCACUCUCUUUAUUAGUCUGACUCUUCCUUUUGUAGACCCAUCUGGGCAUUUUCUAACUUUCUAGAAGUAUGUCCAUUUCAUCGUGGUUUUAACACUUAUUCUUGUAUGAGUGUUCAUAAUAUUUUCGUGAUUUGUGUAAAUCUGUUGUUUUAGUGCUAGCUGCUUCGCGUUUUCUUUCUAGAUUCUGUAUUUCUGAACGUCUCUGUGACUUCUUUUCAGUCUCCUGUAGAGUUUGGUUUGUCUUACGAGCUCUUAAACGAAACCUGCCUUUUGCCCUUCUUGCCCUCUUUGUCCUUUUUUUUUUUUCUUUUGCGUCACUGAUUUUUCUCCUUUAUUUCACUCCUCUUAGAGGGCACUCUUUUUUGCAAACGUCUUUUUUUGAAAGUUCAGCUUUUAAUAGUUUAAAUUCUUUAUUGUUUUCUGAUGAGUGUAUUGAAAGCCGUAAUAUUUCUUCUAAAAAUUGCCUUAGCACUGCUCCAUAAACGGACAGUUAGUGCUUUCAUUUUUAUUCACUUCGUAAUUUUGUAUUCGUUUUGUAAUUUCCCCCUGUAACCCAAGGGUUAGUUAAUUGAAUGUCUUUCCUAGAUUUUUGACAUUUAUUUUAUUGAUUGAUCGUGGGCUCCACGCCCAACGUGGAGCUUGAACUCACAACCUUGAGAUUAGGAGUCACGUGCUCUACCAACUGAGCCAGCCAGGGCCCCUGGAUUUUUGACAUUAAAAAAACAAAAAACAAAAAACAAACAAACAAAAACUUCUUGGGGGUGCCUGGUUGGCUCAGUCCGUUGAGUGUCCCACUCUUGAUUUUGGCUCAGGUCGUCAUCCCCGGGUCGUGGGAUCGAACCCUGUGUCUGACUCCUCACUAAACGUGGAGCCAGCUUGAGUUUCUGUCACUCUCUCUGCCCCUCUCCCCUGCUCGUAUGCGUGCUCACGAGCUCUCUCUGUCAAAGAACAAAACAAAACAAAAACUUUUUAUUCUGUUGAUGUCUGUUUUGAUUGCAUAUGGCCAGAGAGCAUAGUUCACGUGAAUGCCGAUUUCUUUGGAAUAGAUAUUUAAGAGACCCUAUGGCAUUUGCACUUGGAAUGUUCCAUAUGUGCUCAAACGUAAUGUGUUUUUUGUUUGAGGAUAGAAUUUUCCAUGUAUUAUUUUGAGCUUAUCUGUGGUACUUAAUUCUUCUACGCCUCUGCUAAUUUUCUUCCCAUAGUUUUGACAGCUGUUUUAUUAUAGAAUGUUAAGGCUAUAUUGUUAGAUGCACAUACGAGCACGGUCUUUACAUCUUCCUGAUUAACAGUUUCUUUUCCUGGUGUCUGUGCAGCCUCUUUCUUCCUCUUUUAUGAUGUUUUUUUCACCUUACAUUCUAUUUGUGUUGAUGCUACAGUAAUUUUGUUUAUUCUUUUGUUUUUAGUUUCUGUGUGCCCGAUAAAGCUUUUUUCUCUUCUGUCCAGAUUUUCAGUCUUUCCAGAUCCUUUUGCUUUAAAUGUGUUUUAUUUUAGAUAUACGAUGUGGGAUCUUGUUUUUUAAUUUAUUUAUUUUUUUAAUGUUUAUUUAUUUUUGAGAGAGAGAGAGAGAGAUAGACAGCGCAUGAGUUGGGGAGGAGCAGAGAGAGAGGGAGACACAGAAUCCAAAGCAGGCUCCAGGCUCUGAGCUGUCAGCACAGAGCCUGAUGCGGGGCUUGAAUCCACAAACUCCAAGAUCGUGACCUGAGUUGAAGUCGGACACUUAACCUACUGAGCCACCCAGGCGCCCCGGAUCUUGUUUUUUAAACCCAGGUUGAGAGUCUGUCUUUGAUUAGUGAAUUUAACUGGCAUACAUUUAGGGUAAUUGUGAUUAUAUUAGCACUUCUGGAGUAUUAUUUUAUGUUUUCUUUUUACCAUUAUUUUCGGGAGGGUAUCUUUCCUUGCAAUGUUUGAUUGGGUUGAUUUUUUUUUUCCCUCUGCUGGAUUUUAUAAUUAUGCCAUCUAUUUUCUUUUCCUGAAAUUCAGAAUCCAGAUUAUUCCUGAAAUGAUUAAGACCCACUCCCGUAUUUAUUUUUUCCUCUCCGUUUCUAAAGUCAGUAUCUCUGUCCUAUUAACACCAGCCCGUCUCUGUCCUCUCUGCUCGUUUUGGCUGCAUCUGUUUCAGUUCGGAUCCAUGAACUCUGCUUCGUCUGUGCAGGUUGCUGGGCUGGUUAAUUUCUUUUGUCUAGUGUUUCCUCUCCUUCAGACUGUUUUUCCUGGUGACCCCUGAUCCCUCGGCCUGGGCCCCAGGGUAUUAGCUGAUCCCUUGCCCCUGAGGGGGGAGAGUUAGGCUACAGCUUGUCAGUCACUGAGUUUGGUGGUUAGAGGGCUUGAGGGGGUGCACUGAGGCCCCUCAGGCAACCUUGGGGUCUUCUCUCCAGCCACACCUGUUUUCCUGGGGCUACCUGCCUCUGAUGUCCUGGGCCGCAGAUCCCCCUGGGCAUGGGCCACCCUCAGGGAUUCUGAUUCUGCUAGUUUGGGGUGGGUAUUGGUACCUUUUAAAAGUUUCUCAUGAUAGGAAUAGGGUACAGUAUGGACUGAUUAUGAAUUGACAGCGGUUGAACAUCCAACUAAAAUUCAUGCACAGCUAAAAUUCUGAUCACUUCCCAGCUAACACCCAGGAAUUCUGGUGGACGGCAUGGAGGAGGCCAGCUAGCUAGACCUGGGGCUAACUGCGAGAACAGUUAAAAUGGGUCUAUUACGUUUCUGCUGGACAGCGCUGUUCUAACGUAGACUCUCGCUACUCAAAGAGGUCCACAAACCCGUUUGGGCAUCCCCUGGGAGCUUGUUAGAAGUGCAGAAUGUCAGGCCCCAGCCAGACCUCCUGAGUCAGAAUCUGCAUUUUUAUGAGAUUCCCCAGGUGAUUCAUAGACGCAUUAGAAUUUGAGAAGCACUGGGCUAGAUCCUUAAAAGGGAGGGUUGGUUUUAUUUAAUUCAUAUUUUAAGAGAAUGACGCUUCCCUUAUCUGCUCCAAUGAGCUUUCCAGAACACAGGUAGUAGUCAGGGGGCUGAGCUGCCAGGGGAUGGCUCUCCAAGGGCGCCUCUCUUGCCCCCUCCCAAGCCUCGCUUCCACCCAGCUCCUCUUGUACACACGCUUCUAAUAGUAUCGAUCAUCUGCUUCUCAAGGUCCUAACACGUUAAAACAACAAAUCGGAAGAAGGCAAGGGACGUCCUCGAGGUAGGACUGGCUGUCCACUUGGGAGCAGAAGACCAGAAAGACAAAAGAAUUGCAGGCCCCGGGCUGUGUCGUGCGGGGGCAGUUUCUGCAUGCAGACUGUUGAGGAACGUACGGAUGCGGGACGGAUUUCGGCACUAACCUUCAUUAUGCUUAGCCCGAGCCACUAAGUGAUUAAGUUAGGUUCUGGUUAGACCCCUGUGCCGACCAUCCCUGUGGAGGAGGCGUAUUUUCUCCUGCGCUGUAGCAAAUGUCGGGGCCGAGACCGAAGACACUCACUUGGAAGUUGAACUUUGGGGCGCCUUUCUUCCGCUCAUUGUGCUGGGCCCAUGAUGUACCGUCAUCUGGAAAUGGUGGCUCUCGGUGUGAGAACGUGGGGUUGUCUGGGUGGCCUGCCUUUGGAUGCGCCCAGAAGCCGUCAGCUGCCUGCCCUGCCGGCUGAGGGCACGCUGGCCUGGGCGGCCGACCCUUCUGACUUGGAACCUUUGCUUUUCCAUUUAUGAGCCGUGUGACCUUGGGCCCUUAACCUGCUUCCUCUGUCUGUACAAGGGUGAUAGUAAGACUACUCUCACUUCGUAAGGGUUUUGUUAAGACUCCGCUUAGGACGGUGCCUGAUCCACGAUCCUUGGUUGGUUUAGCCUGAAAAAGUCAAGGAAGGUGUUACGGGGGAGGCAGCUCACCAGAAGAGACCGCCCUCUCUGAAAAGAAUAAUAGUGGUAGUAACCCAGACUGAGAUGUCCCGUCGUCAGGGCGGCAGGGAUGCCUGGGCCGUCUGGCUCACCGGGUACGUACUGAUGUUGUGGCGUUGGUAUUUUUCUUUUACGCUUUUUUCCCCAAAGACUGUUCUGCCUUAGAAGAUUAAAAAUAUCUGCUUCCACAUUAGACCCAAUUCAGUUUGAAUAAUUGCAUUUUUAAGGCAAAAGCCUGCUCCUGGGCGUGAGUAGCUUGCACGUCAGACGUUCAGCGGGCAAAUGAAAAACGUGAGUCAUGCAGUGCUUGGCACCUUGGGCUUUUAAUAUUUGGUGGCAAACUUCCUACGGAGAGGAGGACUUUGAAAGUGGAAGUCCUUUCAGAUCCAGAUGGCCAAAGGAUUCUCCGGUGUCGGUUGGGACUAGUGAUUGAAUUUUCUCCUCCUGUUUCCUUGGCCUGCUGGGCCUCUCCGGGGGCCCAGUUUUGUUCAGAAGGGACCGUGUCGGUACAGCGAGGCUGUGUGCCUGGGGAAUGUGCCUACCUCGAAGGAUGAGAACAAGCCAUCCUAGCAGCUUCUCGAAUGCACAGCAGAUAGAAAAGAGAGCGCGUGUAGAGCAACGCGCAAGGCAUCUUUUGUUUUUUUUUUUUUUUGUCUCCGGUGGUUGCUGACAGCGACCAGCAGGACCCAGCAGCUUGCCAUGUGACUUACGUGUCAGGCUCUGAGUUUUGUUUUCUUGGCCAGGAUCUGGAAGGCUGUUUCCAAGUAGGUGUUUCUUCCUUGGCGGCAGAUCUGGGCUGUUAUGUAGUCAGCCCUGUCCUUUUCUGAAGGGGAGCCGCCGUGGGGGGAUGGGAGAGGGGCAGAGUGGCUAAUAUUAGCGUUCCCUCCCUCCUGGAUCAUGUAAUCUCUAACGGACUGGCACUGUUGCCUGGAUUUUGAAUGUAGGCAGUUCCUAUAAAGCGCACUUGGGUCUGACUUUUAGGUAUGUAAGAGGAAGACAAAAUUUGGAGGAAAUGGUGAAAUCGUUUUACAGAACAUGCAGCAGCCCCUAGGGAUUUCAGGAGCAAAGUCAGAAAGUUUACUGGGGAGAAAUCUUGGAUGAUAAGGAAAAAGAAUUCCGUGCCUGGUAGGGGCUCGAGGCUCCCCUGAGACAUAGGUGCUCCCGGGUGCCCGGCUGGGCCCGGGGCUACAGGAAGGGCCUCCUGGGCUUUUGGUCCCAGCAGCUCCCGGCAGCCUCUGGGGAAGUGGGAGGCUGGGAGCCCCCUCCACCUGACAUUUCCAGCCCAGGUUGGAGCAGAGCUCCUAGGUUCUGCCUUGAGAAAAUGGUCAGGGUGUGGGGGGGGGGGGGAGGGGGGCGCCUGGGCGGCUCAGUCCGUGAAGCAUCCGACUCUUGGUUUCAGCUCAGGUCAUGCUCUCACGGUUCCUGAGUUCGAGCCCCACAUCGGGCUUCGUGCUCACGGUGCGGAGCCAACUUGGGAUUCUCUCCCUCCCUGUCUCUCUGCCCCUCCCUUGCUCACUCUGUCUCUCUCUCUCAAAAUAGAUAAAUAAACACUUAAAAAUUUUUUAAGAAAAUGGUCAGGGAGGGCACCUGACUGGCUCAGUUGGAGGAGUGUGCAACCUGUGAUCUUUUGGGUUGUGAGUUUGAGCCCCACACUGGCAUAGACUUUACCUAAAAAUAAGUAAAAUAAAAAAAAACAAAAACAAAAAAAAGGAAAGGGUAAGGGAUGAGAAGCUUGGGAGGAAAAACAGUUGUGAAGGCAGAAUAAACACUCUUCCAUGUGAUCCUUAUGGUUAUCACAGUGUGGAGUUGUUGAAGGAACCAGAAAAAGAAAAAAAAAAGAAGGUUGUCCGUCCUUUUGAAUGUAUUUCAUUUUAAAAUAAAAACGGCCUAACGGUAGUCAUUGUUUUUGCAGGUUUUCUUUCUCUCAAAGCACUUUAUUUUCAGUUUUUACCCCGAUUCUAUCAGUAUGAGAAAAGGACCAGCCCCGGCCCCCUGCCCACCUCUCCCCACCGUCAGCACCUGCACCCUGGAACUGUUCUCUGUCUAUGCAGCUGGCUUCUGCACCUGGUCCCCAGGUUUCAGCGUGGGCAUUGCUUGCUGGUGGGGUGCCGUGGGACUGGGACCGGCAGGUGCAGUGGAGGCCUCACCAUGGGGCCCCUGCAGAGUGGCCUUGUUUCUCUGCUCACCCGAUUUUCAACUAUUGGGCAUUUGGAUAGCUACGACUAUGGAAAUAGGAGUUUCUGUGUACAAGGUCUAAUUUACCCCCAAACUCUUUUCCAGCAACACGUAUCUCUUAAAACAUCAGGUAGGUAGGGGUUCAUCUUUUCUUUGGGAGCCCCCUCCUGGUCCCUUGUCCUUCUCCUGCUGGACGGGCUGCUGCCUGGCACAGGGCCCCCACUUUCCUCCUGGUCUCUUCCCCAUCAUCUUGGGCCACCCUUUCCCCCUCCUGCUUUGGAUCCCUGUCUCCUGAAUUCUGCGAUUUUGUCUUUCUCUCAUUUGGGGAAUCUCCUCCAGUAGCUUCCUGAUAAAGAUGGUUGCCGAACAUAGAAUUCUAGAAUUCCACCCUCGCAAGUCAAAGACGUGGCUCCGCUGGUCAAGGACAGGCUCGUUUCCCAUCCUUUGCCGUUUCUCUGUGACACCGUUCAGAGCCCUGACCUUCGCCUCCUGUUCUCCGGGAUCGUGAUGGUUCUCCUCGGGGAGUCAAAAUGCAUGGCUUUCAUCCACUUUCAACACAUAAAAGAUGUUUUCAACACAGAAAGGCCUUUCACCGCUCUUAAUAGUCAGCUUUUGGAAAGAUGUGGACUAGAAUGAAAAAUGAGGAUGAACACCUCUGAAAUCAGCUGUUUUGAAUUAAAUAAAGCAGAGUGAGGUUGGAGUCAGGUGAAGCGAGAAGAUGGCAUUUAGCCAGUGAGGAUUAAUACGCCGGCUCCUUUAAGCCAAGGGACCGUCUUCUCUGAAAUGUGUGAGGGGUGGACAGGGCUUGUCUGCCCCUCUCCCCCCCACUUCUGCCCCAACAGGGCUGUCGCCCCCUUACCUCGACUUGGCUCAGGAUGACUUCAUCCUUCCCAUGGCUUUGCAUAAUUGCAAGGAGGUGUUCUGGGGGGUUUUUCGCGGGGAUUUUUCCCCCCUUAGCUGUAGUUCCGGGUGCUUUUCGGAGACCCGCUUCACCGGGCUGGCUUAGCAAGUGAGGAUUCCGAGUCCGGGAGCGAGUUGUCUGAAUGUCCGGGGCGGGUGAGCACCUGGAGGCCCUCUCGGCUCCGUGGGCGUCUGCAGGUGUUUUGGGUGGGUCGAGUGCCCCUGUCCCCUGCUCUCCACGUGGAGCAUGGUGGCCUGGAUGUCGUGUAUCCAGCGGGGCCCCUAGCCAGCUUUGCACGGAGACUAUGGGAACGGGACUAAAGUCACGAAAUGUCCUUGCAGGACCUGUUGACCUGACCUCUGUCUCGGUGGAGCAGUGGGGGUCCCUAGUCUGACCCCGAAGGUGGCAGAGGCGAUCUUCCCUUGCUCGAGGCCAGCUGUUAAUGAACUUCAACACAGAAGGGAGUUCUCUUCUCCAUUCUGGGUGGGGACUAGUAAAAUGCCUUUGGCCAGCUGGUAGAACUAAGUCCUGGGAAAUUCUGGAUCCUCCAGCUCAGUCGACUUGGAGUGAACCGUGUGGACAGCAGUGAAUUUGCCCCCCUACGUGUUUUCUCCAGUCAGGCUCGUCCCUCGUGGUGGGCACCUGGUGCUGGUGGUUCUUACGGGAGCUGAGUGCCCCCUUCCUUGGAGCCAGCCUUUGCCUGGGCGUGGUCUUGUCGGCCACUCAGGGCCAUUCCAGAUAGUGCGGCCCUUCAGGGGUCAGGUCAGGCAUCUGUGGCUCCAGGCCAGCAUUUUAAGCAAAUGCCCGGAGUGCACAGCCCAGGCCCUCCACUCAGUGAAGUGCUCGGGCCAGAACAGAGUAUUUUGAACACUGGACACUGUGUUUCAGUUGUUACACCCAGGAGCAGGACUCAUUACCAGGGAGCUUGAAUUUAAGGAAAAAAAAAUGCCGUUAUCUAGAUUCCUCAAGGUUACGACAAAGCUGAAGCAGCUUGUUACCGAGCAAAUGGACAGAAGUGUCGCCAGAAGCAUUUCAGUUUCUGUUUUUGGGGUAGUGGUGGCAGGGGUUCCAUCUCAGAGGCUGACUUGGGUUUGCUUCAGUUGGUUUUACUUCCUUCAGGACGCAGGUCUGGUGUUCCUUCCCGCAUAAGAGAGCACCCCCUCCCGGCCCCUCCCUGGACUUUUUCUUCAUUGACUUAUCAGUCACGUGAGCCACUAUUUAUAAAGUCUGUCCCCUCCCUCCCCCACUCCCCCCACCAUGUGAACUGUGGCUGCUUAAUGAAGGUACACCUUGGCCCCUAGUAUGGGAACGGCUUUUUAAUCCCAAGAACGCCUUGCUAUUUAUUCCUGGAUCGUGGAAACCAGUACACUGCUCCUUUUUUUUUUUUCUUUCUCCCCUUGAAGAAAUCCAGUAACCCUAGGCUUUCUAGAUCCAAAGUGGGUCAGAUGGCUAAUGAUUGAAGAUGGAUUGGCGUCCGGUGUCUUUGGGAACCUAAAGCUGGACUCGGGCUGCAUUCGUGUUUCUCUUCCUCUCGUCAAAGCGCCUCCAAUGGCAGCUGACUUUGCAGUCACUGUGCACCGGGGGUAAGCCAAGCCCCAGCCGCUGGAGACCAGGUGGCCCUGCCUCCACCUGAGCUGGGAGGGAGGCGGGUCUAUGAUUAACUCGGUGAUGUCUUCAAUGUGAUUGCUGGGGGCUGAAAACAUUAACUUUUACAAAAUGAUUUAAAAUUACCAAUUGACGAUAUCCGGGGCUGAACCUGCAUGAUUCAGCUCCUUUUAAAAAUAUCUUUUCUCAACAAAUUGCUUCCUUAACAUUUUAAUUUGUUGAUCAUAAAGGAAGCUUGCCAAAUAUUAGCUGGUCUUUUCCAUUUCCUGCAGCUCCGAGCUUCCCUUAUUUGGCAUAUUUCAGUGGAACUGUAAGGUCACUCCCUAGUUCUCUUCCCAAAGAACUGUAUUUAUUACUGUCAAGUAUUGGCGGGUUUGAUCCAGCUGUCAUCAGAACGUUUGGAAAUAUUUUUUUUUGCCAGAAUGCUGAUUUAAUGAUCUAAUACUGACAUGGCUUGUUUUCUCCGCUGAUUUGAUAACUUACUUGUUCAAUAAACUCCCCUCUUAGUGAGCCACGCUGUUCUUUCUUUUUUCUUUUCUUUUCUUUUCUUUUCUUUUCUUUUCUUUUCUUUUCUUUUCUUUUCUCUUCUCUUCUCUUCUCUUCUCUUCUCUUCUCUUCUCUUCUCUUCUCUUCUCUUCUCUUCUCUUCUCUUCUCUUCUCUUUUCUUUUCUUUUCUUUUCUUUUCUCUCCUCUCCUCUUCUCUUCCUGCUACCACAAGCUUUAUGGGCAGUGUCUUAAAGACAGUAGUGGGGUUUUUUUUUCCCCUUCCUUUCUCUUUCUUUUACUCCCUCCACCCCACCUCCGUCCUCUCCUCCCCUCCUCUUUUUUCUUCUUUUUUUUUGGAGAGGCCCUAGAUGUGUUACCAACUGUCCUUGAGGAAGUUAGCAUUGCUGCUGCCUGGUAUUUUGAAGUGCACUUAAGAAAAAUUUCAGACAGACCCCAAAGUAGAGAGGCAACUAGAACGAAACCUCCGUGUUCCUACCCCUCAACCAGCUUUACAAAGUUAGGACCUAACAUUAUGCCUGGUUUCAUCUCUGCCCCCGCUUACUUGCAUUUUGGAAAGGACAUCAUACUUCCCCGUAAAUAUUUCAAUAUGUAUCUCUAAAAGAUAACGUGUUUAUUUUUUUUAAGCACCAUAUACCCAACAUCAUACCUCAAAAAAAGAAAGCAACAGUGUGAGGAAGGAGUUUCUACCGUGUGGCACCCUACUGAGUCAGUCUGUGGGAGUCACGGGAGGAGAGGGGCUUUGACUCAGAACUCUGCCCCAGGUCCUUUGCUGCUGCACCUGCCCUAGCGUCCUGAGCUAGUUACUGCUACGACCCAGGAGUUGUGCUAGUUCCUCUGACUCAAAAUCCUGAGUCUCUGGAUGUUCGAGGCUCUGACUUGCUUUGGAGUUGGCCACUUGGGCUUGGUUGCAGGAGGAGGUAGGCACGUGCCUCGUGUUGACCGAUUCUGCUUGCGCGAGGGUGUGCCCUGCCUCGUUCCUGCCGGUGGGGGGAGUUUGAAUGUUGGACUUCGGCUGCAUCCACCUGGUAGUGGAACCUGUGCUCCUGAUCAUCCCGUUUCUGUCCUGGCGGAUCAUUGUGUGUGCCUCGGAUUCCCCUCCUUUCGCUUGUGCCGAUUAUCUGAAACUCUGUGUAGUAGUUGAUUCUCUAUGUGGAAGAUCGGUUUCCACAUUCAGUGGGUUAGUGUUUAGGGCCAGUUAACAGGGGUCAACAUUUGCAACCCACUGUCGCCCCAGUCUUUUGGGACUGAGAUGUUUCGGUCAUUUGAAUUUAACGAACUGCCUGGCUCUGCACCAGACACUGGGGCUUCAGAGCUCGUUCAGGUACUGGCUGUGUGUCCAGGAGCUCCUGCCUUCACUGCAGGAGGAUGAGCCAGGCAUAGGGCUGGGAGCUCAGUGCUAGGGGGCUGGGUGGACAGAAGGUCCUGAGUGGUGGUAAUGGUCCUGCUGGGCCUUGGAGCAUGCGUGAGAUUUGCACAUGUCCAGGGGGUGGGGGGUGGGGGGUAGCCCUGUGUCGAUCACCCAUAAUCCCACUACCAGAGUCCUAUACCGUGAACGUUGUGAUUCAUUUCCUUUGGAUAUUUCCCUACAAAUAUAUGUAUUUAUGACAUCUAUUCAAGCAACCAGUAACUCAGGAAGCCUGUAUUGAGCACCUGGCCAUGGGCCAGACCCUCUUUCUUGGUUCUGGGGUUGGUGGGGAGAGGUCAAGGUAAUUCUUGCCCUUAAGGAGCUUACAUUCUGGUACGUUUAUGGAACAAAUCCCAUCAUACAGUUGAUGGUAUCUGUGUUCGGUUUGGCUCACUUUACAAAUCACACCAGGCCAUCCGUGGAAUUAUUUGCCUGCCCUUCCAGCCUGCAAUUGCCCUUCAGCUUGACAGAGAACAGCUGCCCGUGACAUGUGACCCUCUCAACACCAGCCCCACUAACAGGCUCAGAAGGUGCUCAGAGAUGGCUUCCAGCUGGGCGGGCUCAGGACCUGCCCCCUUUCCCUUUGGGUUGCCUGUGAAGGGUGGGUUUUUCCUCUUUUUGAGUGAUUAUACUGACCUAAUUUGCAUUGAGGGGCAGAUUUAAAAUCCUGGUAUAAUUUGCAACCCAAGUAUGCCCUUAAAUUGUUCCAUUGCCAGGGGCGGUGUGGGGGCAACUGUUGUGUUGGUUUUCUUAGAUACAUAGGUGCCAGGUAUGUGUUUGGAUAUGUCACAUCUGAAGUUUAAAAUUCAGAAAGGAUAAAUACCCUAUAUCGUUCAGUGUAUUUGGAAAAUUUGGUUCUAAAUUCAAAUAUACACCCAAACAGAAGAGCAUAAUGAAUCCUUUUGUACCCAUUAUCCAGCUUCCAUAAUUAUCUGCUCACAGCCAACCUCGUUUUAGCUGUAUGUUCUCAUUCCCCACCCCAACUUAAUUUUGAAACAAAUCCCAGACAGUGGAUCUUGUUUCAUCCAUAAAUAUUUCAGUGUGUAUCUUCAAAAGAUAAGGACUUUUUUUUUUAAUGUAACCACAAUCCAUUAUCAUAUUUCCCCCCAGAUGGCAAAAAAACCCCAAAAAAAUCAUUAAUAUCAACUAUCUACUCAAAUACCCAAAUUUCCAUUUUCCCAUAAAUAUCAUAAUUAAAGAAAAUCCGAUUCAGGAACCAAGUAAGAUCCUCACAUUGUGAUUGGUUCAUGCAUCUUAGUCUUUUCAUUCUUUUAAUUGACCAGAACACCCCCCCCCUUUCUUACCCCCACCCCGCAUCUAUUUCUAUUUCGGAAGAUCACAUUUGGGCUUUUUUGGGGGGCGGGGGUGGGGGGGGCUCGAUCCUUCCCUAGGUGAUGGCAUGCAUUUCCAUCAGACCGUCCGGAGGCACACGUAAUGUGUAUGUGAUGGCAGACUUUUUUCUCCUAAUUUUUAAAAUUGUGAAGUACACAGAGAAGAUACUGUCUUCACUAUUUUUAACUGUAUUGCUCAGUGGCGUUAAGCACAUUCACGCUAUUGGGCAAACCAUUACCACCAUCUCCAGAAUGCUCUUCAUCUUGUGAGACUAAAACUCUGUCCCCACGGAACACUAACUCCCCAUCCCCCGUCUACGGGCAACCACGGUGCUUUCUGCGUCUAUGGAGGACUACUGUAGGUGUUUGUGUAAGUGGAAUCGUAACAGUGUUUGACUUUUUGUGACUGGCUUAUUUCGCUCAACACAACGUCCUCAAGGUUGAUCCUGGUUGUAGCACAUGACAUAACACUUUUCCUUUUUAAGGCUGAAUAGUAUUCCGUCAUAUGGAUAGACCACACUUUGCUUAUUCAUUCCUCCAUGGGCGGACACUCGGGUCGCUUUUGUGAGUAACGCUGCUGUGAACAUUGACGUGCAGAUAACUCUUUGAGACCCUGCUUUCAGUUCUUUUGAGUAUAUACCCAGAGGUUUGCUGGAUCAUAUGUUGGUUCUAUUUUUGAUAUUUUGAGAAAUGGUUAUACUGUUUUCCAUAGCGGCCGCACCAGUUUGCAAUCCCACCCAUGGUGCGCAAGGGCUCAUUGCCUUACUUCACCAGUACUUAUUUUCUGUGUGUGUGUGUGUGUGUGUGUGUGUGUGUGUGUGUGUGUGUUAAUGUUUAUUUAUUUUUGAGAGAGUGUGAGCAAGAGAGGGGCAGACAGACAGGGACAGAGGACCUGAAGUGGGGUCUGUGCUGACAGCAGAGAACCCGAUGCGGGGCUUGAACUCACAAACCGUGAGAUAAUGGCCUGAGUCAAAGUUGGAUGCUCAACCGACUAAGCCACCCAGGUACCCCUGGUUAUUUAUGUAUGUAUGUAUGUAUGUAUGUAUGUAUGUAUGUUUUGAUUGCCAUCCUUAAUGGGUGUGAGGGUAAGAUGUCCUUGUGGUUUUGAUUUGUGUUUCCGUAAUGAUGGCACUUAUUUUUAAUAACUUAUUUAAACUUAAUAUCUCAUCUGUGGGUGCUUCAAGAUGGGGAAUGUAUUUUGUGAGCCACCUUAAUUCUAAAAACAAUGAGAGGUACCUGGGUGGCUCAGUCGGUUAAGCGUCCAACUCUUGGUUU